rnacentral:lncRNA from 1 species
ACAAAACAGUGAGUAAUAGUCCAUGAAACGGGCCAGAAUCGGCCAAAACUGCGAGUGUUGAUGACCUACACGUAAAUGCACCUCAGGCUUCGUUAAUCGUGGAAAUCACUCUAAGACCCCAAAACAGUGAGUAAUAGUCCACGAAACGGGCCAAAAUCGGCCAAUACUGCAAGUGUUGAUGGACUUGAGGUAUCGCACGUUGGGGUUCAACAACCAUGCAAAUCGCUUCGGGACCCCAAAACGGGGAGUAAUAGUCCACGAAACGGGACAGAACCGGCCAAAACUGCUUGUGUUUAUGACCGACACAUAAGCACACCUUGGGGUUCAACAACUAUGCAAAUCACUUUGAGACCCCAAAACAAAGAGUAAUAGUCCAUGAAAUGGGCGAGAAUCGGCCAAAACUGUGAGUAUCCAUGACCGACAUGUAAGCGAUCCUUGGCUUUUGUCAAUCAUGGAAAUCACUCCGAGACCCCAAAACAGUGAGUAAUAAUCCAUGAAACGGGCCAGAAUCAGCCAAAACUGCGAGUGUUGAUGACCGACACGUAAGCACACCUUGGGGUUCGUCAAUCGUGGAAAUCACUCAGAGAUCCCAAAACAGUGAGUAAUAGUCCACGAAAUGGGCCAAAAUCGGCCAAACUGCGAGUGUUGAUGACCGACACGUAAGCGCACCUUGGNNNNNNNNNNNNNNNNNNNNNNNNNNNNNNNNNNNNNNNNNNNNNNNNNNNNNNNNNNNNNNNNNNNNNNNNNNNNNNNNNNNNNNNNNNNNNNNNNNNNNNNNNNNNNNNNNNNNNNNNNNNNNNNNNNNNNNNNNNNNNNNNNNNNNNNNNNNNNNNNNNNNNNNNNNNNNNNNNNNNNNNNNNNNNNNNNNNNNNNNNNNNNNNNNNNNNNNNNNNNNNNNNNNNNNNNNNNNNNNNNNNNNNNNNNNNNNNNNNNNNNNNNNNNNNNNNNNNNNNNNNNNNNNNNNNNNNNNNNNNNNNNNNNNNNNNNNNNNNNNNNNNNNNNNNNNNNNNNNNNNNNNNNNNNNNNNNNNNNNNNNNNNNNNNNNNNNNNNNNNNNNNNNNNNNNNNNNNNNNNNNNNNNNNNNNNNNNNNNNNNNNNNNNNNNNNNNNNNNNNNNNNNNNNNNNNNNNNNNNNNNNNNNNNNNNNNNNNNNNNNNNNNNNNNNNNNNNNNNNNNCCACGAAACAGGCCAGAAUCGGCCAAAACUGCGAGUGUUGAUGACCGACACGUAAACGCACCUCGGGGUUCGUCAAUCGUGGAAAUCACUCCGAGACCCCAAAACAGUGAGUAAUAGUCCACCAAACGGGCUAGAAUCGGCCAAAACUGCGAGCGUUGAUGACCGACAUGUAAGUGCACCUUGGCUUUCGUGAAUCGUGGAAAUCACUCCGAGUCCCCUAAAGAGUGAGUAAUAGUCCACAAAACGGGCUAGAAUCGGCCAAAACUACGAGUGUUGAUGACCGACAGGUAAGUGCACCUUGGGGUUCAACAACUAUGCAACAAGUAUAGGGGGUCGCAAUAGUUUCCGAGGGUAGAGUAUUCAACCCAAAUUUGUUGAUUCGACACAAGGGGAGCCAAAGAAUAUUCUCAAGUAUUAGCAGGUGAGUAGUCAAUUCAACCACACCUGGAAACUUAGUAUCUGCAGCAAGGUGUUUAGUAGCAAAGUAAUAUCAUAGUGGUGGUAAUGGUAACAAAAGUAAAGACAGCAAAAGUAAUGUUUUUUUGUAUUUUGUAUUGAUUGUAACAAUAACAACGGAAAAGUAAAUAAGCGAGAACCAGUAGAUGGAAAACUCGUAGGCACCGGAUCAAUGAUGGAUAAUUAUGUCGGAUGUGGUUCAUCAUGUAAUAGUCAUAACAUAGGGUGACACAGAACUAGCUCCACUUCAUCAAUGUAAUGUAGGCAUGUAUUCCGAAUAUAGUCAUACGUGCUUAUGGAAAAGAACUUGCAUGACAUCUUUUGUCCUUGGCUUAAUCUCGGGUCAAUAUGCUUAAUCUCAGUUCAAAUCGCACUCCGUGGUCAAACUUCCCGAAAGGUCACCCAUCCUCAAACUACUCCAGCCCAAGCACGCUUAACUUCAGAGUUCUAUCCAACCCCAGCAACAGCUCACUUCACAGGCACUUGUUGAUAUAUCUAGCAUAUCAAUCCUAUUAUACCUUGUUGAUGUCUAGGACUUUGUUCAUGUUCAUGACUAUGAUGAAAUUUUGAAAAAUAUUUCAAACUUCCCGGUCAUAUUACGUAUCAUUUUUUGAAAAAAAAUUCAAAAAAAAUGAAAACCAAUUUAUUUUUUUCUGUUACUAGUGGCGCACCACAUCCACGGUGCGCCACUAGUAAGUUUGAAAUUUUUUGAAUUUUUUUGCCUCUAGAUCUUGAAAGCCUCGUAACUUUUUUCUGUUAGGUUUUUGGUGAUUUUGAAAAUGUUUAACGUGGUUCCCCCAGUUAAAUUUGGAUGUAACUUUUCGAGUAGAUGAUUCUUCAUAUAAAAAACUUUUUCAUCCGAGUUCGUAUGCAAAAGUUAUGCCCAUUUUACAAAUUUCCAGAGAGAUUUUGCAAAUAAAGUCGAAAUUCAUAUUUGUAAAUUUUCCCAACAACUAGACCACAUAUCACAUGGGAAACUUAUUUUCUUUUAUUUUUUGACAUUUCCAUCAUUUUCUUUUAUUUUUUUUAAAUUGAAAAGGCGAUCCACACGGGGGGGUGCAUUCGGCAACUUUUGGGCCAAGUUAGUAAUGGCGCACCGUGGGGUGGUGCGCCAUUGAUAGUUAAACUAAUAAUGGCGCACCACACCCACUGUCCACAGGUGCGCCAUUACUAACAAAAAAAAUUUCAAAACUACUAAUGGCGCACGGUGGGUGUGGUGCGCCAUUACUAUGUCAACAUAGUAAUGGCGCACCACACCCAUCGUGCGCCAUUAAUAGUUUUGAAAAAAUUUAAAAAAAUUUACUAAUGGCGCACCGUGGGAUGUGGUGCGCCAUUAGUACUUGCACACUAAUGGCGCACCAACACAUGGUGCGCCAUUAGUAUUUAGUAAUGGCGCACCACAUGUACAGUGCGCCAUUAGUGUCCAUCCCAUCUAUAGCCCUUUUCCUAGUAGUGACUCCUCAAACUGUGGUCAUCACCGAGAAGUAUCCCGAUUAUUGUCACUUCGGGGUUGUCGAAUCAUAACACAUAAUAGGUGACUAUAGACAUGCAAGAUAGGAUCAAGAACACACAUAUAUUCAUGAAAACAUAAUAGGUUCAGAUCUGAAAUCAUGGCACUCGGGCCCUAAUGACAAGCAUUAAGCGUAGCAAAGUCAUAGCAACAUCAAUCUUAGAACAUAGUGGAUACUAGGGAUCAAACCCUAACAAAACUAACUCGAUUACAUGAUAAAUCUCAUCCAACCCAUCACCGUCCAGCAAGCCUACGAUGGAAUUACUCACGCACGGCGGUGAGCAUCAUGAAAUUGGUGAUGGAGGAUGGUUGAUGAUGAUGACGGCGACGAAUCCCCCUCUCUGGAGCCCCGAACGGACUCCAGAUCAUCCCUCCCGAGAGAGAUUAGGGCUUGGCGGCGGCUCCGUAUCGUAAAACGCGAUGAAACUUUUCGCUCUCCUUUUUUUCUCCCUGAAAGCCAGUUGGAGUUGGCGUCGGAGGGCAUCCAGGGGGCCCACGAGGUAGGAGGGCGCGCCCGGGGGGAGGGGCGCGCCCCCCACCCUCGUGGACAGGGUGUGGGCCCCCUAGUCUUCAUCUUUGGCGAGGAUUUUUUAUUAUUUAUUCUAAGAUAUUCCGUGGAGUUUCAGGUCAUUCCGAGAACUUUUGUUUUCUGCACAUAAAACAACAUCAUGGCAAUUCUGCUGAAAACAACGUCAGUCCGGGUUAGUUCCAUUCAAAUCAUACAAGUUAGAGUCCAAAGCAAGGGCAAAAGUGUUUGGAAAAGUAGAUACGAUGGAGACGUAUCAACUCGCCCAAGCUUAAACCCUUGCUUGUCCUCAAGCAAUUCAGUUGAUAAACUGAAAGAGAAAAAAGAAAAACUUGUACAAACACUGUUUGCUCUUGUUGUUGUAAACAUGAAAAGCCAGCAUUCAAGUCUCAGCAAUUAUUAUGAACUAACCAUACUCACAAUGACACGUAGGUCUCACAAUUACUCAUAUCAAUAGCAUAAUCAGCUAGCAAGCCAUAAUAAUAAAACUCGGAUGACAACACUUUCUCAAAAUAAUCAUAACAUGAUAUAACAAAAUGGUAUCUUGCUAGCCCUUUCUGAGACCGCAAAACAUAAAUGCAGAACACCUUUAAAGAUCAAGGACUGAGUAAACAUUGUAAUUCAUGGUAAAAUAGAUCCAAUCAAGUCAUACCCAAUAUAAACCAAUAAUGAUGAAUGCAAACGACAGUGUGCUCUCCAGCGGGUGCUUUUUGCGUAUACUCCAAUAAGAAGGAUGAUGACUCAACAUAAAAGUAAAUAGAUAGGCCCUUCGCAGAGGGAAGCAGGGAUUUGUAGAGGUGCUAGAGGUCGAUUUUGAAAUAGAGAUAAAUUAUAUUUUGAGCGCAUACUUUCACUGUCAACGCAACAACAAUGAGAUGGUUGUAUCUUCCAUACUACAUGCAUUAUAGGCAGUUCCCAAACAGAAUGGUAAAGGUUUAUACUCCCCCUCCUCCACAAGCAUCAAUCCAUGGCUUGCUCAAAACAAUGAGUGCCUCCAACAUUCAACAGGUCCCAUGGGAGUUUUGUUUAAUUAUUUUGAUUUGCUUCGAUCUUUUUGGAUCAUGGGACUGGGCAUCCCGGUUACCGGCCCUUUCUCGUGAAUGAGGAGCGGAGUCCACUCCUCUUGAGAAUAACCCACCUAGCAUGGAAGAUAUAGGCAGCCCUAGUUUCACAUGAGCUGCUCGAGCAUACAAAACAAAAAUUCAUUUGAAGGUUUGGAGUUUGGCACAUACAAAUUUACUUGGAACGGCAGGUAGAUACCGCAUAUAGGAAGGUAUAGUGGACUCUUAUGGAACAACUUUGGGGUUUAAGGAGUUCGGAUGCACAAGCAGUAUUCCCACUUAGUACAGGUGAAGGCUAGCAAAAGACUGGGAAGAGACCAACUGAGAGACGGACAACAGUCGUAAACAUGCAUCAAAAUUAAUUUACACCGAAUACAAGCAUGAGUAGGAUAUAAUCCACCAUGAACUUAAAUAUCAUGAAGGCUAUGUUGAUACGAUUCAACUACACGUGUGAACAUGUGCCAAGUCUAGUCACUCAAUUCAUUUAAAGGAGGAUACCAUCCCAUCAUACCACAUCAUAAUCAUUCUAAUAGCAUGUUGGCACGCAAGGUAAACCAUUAUAACUCAUAGCUAAUCAAGCAUGGCACAAGCAACUAUAAUCUCUAUAAGUCAUUGCAAAUAUGUUUAGUUCAUAAUAGCUGAAUCAGGAACGAUGAAUCAUCAUAUUUACAAAAACAAGAGAGGUCGAGUUCAUACCAGCUUUUCUCAUCCCAAUAAGUCCACCAUAUAUCAUCAUUAUUGCCUUUCACUUGCACGACCGAAUGGUGUGCAUAAUAAUAAGAGUGGACGUGCAUUGGACUAAGCUGGAAUCUGCAAGCAUUCAACUCAAGAGAGAAGACAAGUAAUAUGGGCUCUAUGUUAGAUAAGCAUUAAAGCAUAUAAGAGCCACUAAGCAUUUUCAAUAUAGUCUUCUUGACCCCCAAAGAAAGGAAAAGAAAUAAAAACUAUUUACACGGGAAAGCUCCCAACAAGCAAAAAAACAGGAAAUACUUUUGGGUUUUCUUUUUAAUUAUUACUACUACAGCAGGAAAAAUAGACUAACUAAUUUUUUUUGUUUUUCUAAAGGUUUAUCAAACACACAAGAAGAAAGCUAGAAAAAGAAAUUAAACUAGCAUGGAUAUUACAGUGAAAGAGUAUGAGCACCGACAUCUAUCAAUGAGUGUGUGUGAACAUAAAUGUAAUGUCGGUGAGAAAUACGUACUCCCGCAAGCUUAGGCUUUUGGCCUAAGUUGGUCUAUUGCCAGGGAUAGCCUGGCUGAUACCCGUAGGUGUAGCUGGGGUCGUACUACGAUGUAGAGGAGUCUGAUUGCCACUGGCUGGCAACCGCCUCAGGAUCCCAAGAAUAAACAGACAUUCGUCGAGGCCCAUCUUGUGGCUCUGGUUCCGGGGCUGGUGCAGGAUUCCGAUAGGCUUGAACGGCCGCCCACGGAACAAUGUAAGAACCUGUAGACAAGUUAAACAAAGAGGGAGCAGGCAAAGUAAUAGUCUCAGGGUGAUGUUUAUCAAAGUACAAUUUAUAUUUAAGCUCCCCUUCGCGACUCUUAACAAGAAAAUCAUGCGCUAGCAUACUCUUAUAAUCUAAAUAAGCAUGGGGCAGCGUUGUUUCUUGUUUCUUCUCAUGCCUAAUAGGUAUCUCAAAAUAUUCAGCUAGGCGCGAAGCAUAAAUGCCUCCAAAGAUGGGGCCCUUAGUACGGUUCAGACUUAACCGUCUAGCAACAAUUCCACCCAUACUAACAGAGUUAUUGCGGUAUAAACCAUGGAACAAAAUGAUAAUAUCAGGAAUGCUAAGGUUUCCACAGUUCCCGCGACCAAUCAAGCAACGACUAGCAAAUAAGGCAAAGUAGCGUAAAACAGGAAAAUGUAUGCUAGUAAUUCUUGCAACGGAAACCUUACUGGUUUCUCCCAUAGUGAUAGUGUUAAUAAAAGCUUCUACUUCAUUACGGUGUGGUUCAUCUAAGGUGCCCUCAAAGGGUAUUUUGCAAACCUCGCAAAAUUCAGCUAAUGGCAUCUCUUUAACAACGUCAUAUAAAUGAAACUCUACUGUUGGAGGUGAUUUCUUAGGGAAAAAGUAGAAGUUCUGCACAAAAGUAUUUGUGAGUAAGAGAUACUGAUGACGUUGGUCGCGGAGGAAGUCGGUGAGGCCGACGUUCUCAAUUAAUAGAUAGAAAUUCUCAUAAAUCCCUGCACUCCUCAAGAAUUCAUCGGAAGGCCAUUCACACGGCCGGACGUCCGCGGUGCGAGGCAAAUUAAAUUUGGGCUUCUGCUCUUCUUCCUUUUGUUUUUCCUUCGAGCUUCGGCUCGACGAGCCCCUCAAAAAUCUCUUCAUUAUUUUUUGAAACAAUCUGAAAUUUUUAGUAACUUCAAAUAAAUGUGAACCAAUUUCAGUAAAAUUUAUAGUAACAACUCCCACAAGUGCCUAGAGCCUAUAUAGAGCAUUAGAACUACUUGGAACCAUAUAAAUUUGACAUGCAAGCUCAAGAACAUGGUCACCUAUGCAGCACAAGUUUGCAAUGAAUAAAUCACUAGAACAAAAACUAAUUGGACCAAUGGAGGAGUCACAUACCAAGGAACAAUCUCCCCAAGCAGUUUUGCGAGAGGUGCUUUGAGCAAGGAGAUCGAAAAUCGCAGCAAAAGUUGCUGGAACACGAGCUUGAGUUGGUUUUUCGGGUUUGUGUGAGACAGAGGAAGAAGAUGGAUGCAGGGAUAAGUGGAGGAGGUCCACCGUGGGCCCACGAUGCAGGGGGGCGCGCCCAGGGGGGUAGGGCGCGCCCUCCACCCUCGUGACCAGGUAGCAGCUCCUCCCGCGGUAAUUUUUGCACUAAAAAUCCUCAAAUAUUCCCGAAAAAAUCAUAUUAAAUUGGCAUGGCAUUCUGAGGACUUUUAUUUUCGGAAUAUUUUUAUAUUGCACGGAUAAGUCGGGAGACAGACAGGAAAAUACUAUUUUACUUUAUUUCUAAUAAGUAACAGAAAAUAUAAAGAGGGUACAGAAGGUUGUGCUUCUAGUUUCAUCCAUCUCAUGCUCAUCAAAAGGAAUCCACUAACAAGGUUGAUCAAGUCUUGUUAACAAACUCAUUCCGAUUAACAUGAAACCGGAGAAAUUUCGAAUAACACUAUGUUACCUCAACGGGGAUAUGGACAUCCCCAAUAAUAAGUAUAUCAUAUUUCUUCUUGACAGCGGGGAGAGGAAAUUCAAAACCUCCAAAUAUAAUCGAAGGAAUUUUUCCAAUAGAGUUGAUACUAUAAACUUGAGGUUGUUUCCUCGGAAAGUGUACCGUGUGCUCAUUACCAUUAACAUGAAAAGUGACAUUGCCUUUGUUUCAAUCAAUAACAGCCCCUGCAGUAUUAAGGAAAGGUAUUCCAAGAAUAAUAGACAUACUAUCAUCCUCAGGAAUAUCAAGAAUAACACAGUCCGUUAAAAUAGUAACGUUUGCAACCAGAACAGGCACAUCCUCACAAAUACCGACAGGUAUAGCAGUUGAUUUAUCAGCCAUUUACAAAGAUAUUUCAGUAGGUGUGAACUUAUUCAAGUCAAGUCUACGAUAUAAAGAGAGAGGCAUAACGCUAACACCGGCUCCAAGAUCACAUAAAGCAGUUUUAACAUAAUUUCUUUUAAUGGAGCAUGGUUUAGUAGGUACUCCUGGAUCUCCAAGUUUCUUUGGUAUUCCACCCUUAAAAGUAUAAUUAGCAAGCAUAGUGGAUAUUUCAGCUUCAGGUAUCUUUCUUUUAUUAGUAAUAAUAUCCUUCAUAUACUUAGAAUAAGGAUUUGUUUUGAGCACAUCAGUUAAUCGCAUACGCAAAAAGAUGGGUCUAAUCAUUUCAGCAAAGCGAUUAAAAUCCUCAUCAUCCUUUUUCUUGGAUGGUUUCAGGGGAAAAGGCAUGGGUUUUUGAACCCAUGGUUCCCUUUCUUUACCAUGCUUCCUAGCAAUGAAGUUUCUUUUAUCAUAGUGUUGAUUCCUUGAUUGUGGGUUAUCAAGAUCAACAGCAAGUUCAACUUCUACAUCAUUAUCAUUACUAGGUUGAGAAUCAACAUGAACAUUAUCAUUAACAUUUUCACUAGGUUCAUGUUCAUCACCUGAUUGUGUUUCAGCAUCAGAAAUAGAAAUAUCAUUUGGAUUAUCAGGUGGUUCAGCAAUAGGUUCACUAGAAGUUUGCAUAGUACUAUCAUUUUUCUUUUUCUUCCUUUUAGAAGAACUGGGCAUAUCAACAUUAUUUCUCUGUGAAUCUUGCUCGAUUCUCUUAGGGUGGCCUUCAGGAUACAAAGGUUCCCGAGUCAUUCUACCAGUUCUAGUAGCCACUCUAACGGCAUAAUCAUUUUUCUUACUAUUCAUUUCAUUAAGCACUUCUUUCUAAGCUUUAAGUACUUAUUCUACUUGAGUGGUAACCAUAGAAGCAUGUUUGCUAACCAGUUUAAGUUCACCUCUAAUAUUAGCCAUAUAAUCACUUAAGCGUUUAAUCAUAAAGGUAUUCUGUUUUAAUUGUCUACCAAAAUAAGCAUUAAAGUCAUCUUGCUUAAACAUAAAUUCAUCAAACUAAUCCAAGCACUGACUAGCAAUUUUAGUAGGAGGGACUUUAGUUUUAUCAUAUCUGUAGAGAGAAUUUACCUUUACUACCUGUGUCGGGAUACCGGGAGGUUCUUCAGUAAAUAAGUAAUUGAGAUCAUAUACUUCUUCAACUGGCGGUAAAUUAAGGCCAUGUAUUUCUUCAAUAGGAGGUAAAUUCUUAACAUCUUCAGCUUUAAUACCUUUUUCUUUCAUAGAUUUCUUUGCCUCUUGCAUAUCUUCGGGACUGAGAAAUAGAACACCUCUCUUCUUCGGAGUUGGUUUAGGAAUAGGCUCAGUAAUUGGCUCGGGAGUUGGCUCAGGAGGUGCCCAAUUAUUUUCAUUUGUCAACAUAUUAUUCAAUAGAAUUUCAGCUUCAUCCGGUGUUCUUUCCCUGAAAAGAGAACCAGCACAGCUAUCCAGGUAAUCUCUAGAAGCAUCAGUUAGUCCAUUAUAAAAGAUAUCAAGUAUUUUAGGUUUCUUAAGAGCAUGAUCAGGAAAAGCAUUAAGUAACUUGAGAAGCAUCCCCCAAGCUUGUGGGAGACUCUCCUCUUCAAUUUGCACAAAAUUAUAUAUAUCCCUCAAAGCAGUUUGUUUCUUAUGAGCAGGGAAAUAUUUAGCAGAGAAGUAAUAAACCAUAUCCUGGGGACUUUGCACACAACCAGGAUCAAGAGAAUUAAACCAUAUCUUAGCAUCACCCUUUAAUGAGAACGGAAAUAUUUUGAGUAAAUAAAGGUAGCGUGAUCUCUCAUUAUUAGUAAACAGGGCAUCUAUAUCAUCUAACUUACGAAGAUGUGCCAUAACAGUUUCAGAUUCAUAGUCAUAAAAAGGAUCAGAUUGAACCAAAGUAAUUAUAUCUGGAUCAACAGAAAAAUCAUAAUAAUCCUGAUCAGGAACACAGAUAGGUGAAGUAGCAAAAGCAGGGUCAGGUCUCAUCCUACCUCUAAAAGAUUCUUUACUCCAUUUAACUAGCAACCUAUUACGUUCAAGACUAUCCUAGCAAGCAAGAAUAGCUUCAGCAGAUUCAGCAUUAAAAAGGUAACCCUCAAGAAUAGCAGGCCUAUUUUCAUCAUCACUAACAUCAUCGUGUUCAGUUUCAAUAAUUUCUCUUUCUCUAGACUUAGAAAUUUGUUCAUCUAGAAAUUCACCAAGAGGCACAGUAGUAUCAAGCAUAGAAGUAGUUUCAUCAUAAGUAUCAUGCAUAGCAGAAGUGCCAUUAUCAAUAACAUGCGACAUAUUGGAACGAAUAGCAGAAGCAGGUUUAGGUGUCGCUAGCUUGUUUAUAACAGAAGGUGAAUCAAGUGCAGAGCUAGAUGGCAGUUCCUUAUCUCCCCUCGUAGUUGAGGGAUAAAUAGUUGUCUUAGCGUCUUUCAGGUUCUUCAUAGUGUCCAGCAGAUAUAAAUCCCAAGUGACUAAAAGAAUAGAGCUAUGUUCCCCGGCAAUGGCACCAGAACAAGGUCUUGAUAACCCACAAGUAUAGGGGAUCACAACAGUUUUCGAGGGUAGAGUAUUCAACCCAAAUUUGUUGAUUCAACACAAGGGGAGCCAAAGAAUAUUCUCAAGUAUUAGCAGCUGAGUUGUCAAUUCAACCACACCUGGAAACUUAGUAUCUGCAGCAAAGUGUUUAGUAGCAAAGUAAUAUGAUAGUGGUGGUAAUGGUAACAAAAGUGAAGACAGCAAAAGUAAUGUUUUUGGUAUUUUGUAGUGAUUGUAACAGUAACAAUGGAAAAGUAAAUAAGCGAGAACCAGUAUAUGAAACACUCGUAGGCACCGGAUCAAUGAUGGAUAAUAAUGCCGGAUGUGGUUCAUCAUGUAAUAGUCAUAACAUAGGGUGACACAGAACUAGCUCCAGUUCAUCAAUGUAAAGUAGGCAUGUAUUCCGAAUAUAGUCAUACAUGCUUAUGGAAAAGAACUUGCAUGACAUCUUUUGUCCUACCCUCCCGUGGGAGCGGGGUCCUAUUGGAAACUAAGGGAUAUUAAGGCCUCCUUUUAAUAGAGAACCGGAACAAAGCAUUAGCACAUAGUGAAUACAUGAACUCCUCAAACUAUGGUCAUCACCGAGAAGUAUCCCGAUUAUUGUCACUUCGGGGUUGUCGGAUCAUAACACAUAAUAGGUGACUAUAGACUUGCAAGAUAGGAUCAAGAACACGCAUAUACUCAUGAAAACAUAAUAGCUUCAGAUCUGAAAUCAUGGCACUCGGGCCUUAGUGACAAGCAUUAAGCACAGCAAAGUCAUAGCAACAUCAAUCUCAGAACAUAGUGGAUACUAGGGAUCAAACCCUAACAAAAAUAACUUGAUUACAUGAUAAAUCUCAUCCAACCCAUCACCGUCGAGCAAGCCUACGAUGGAAUUACUCACGGACGGCUGUGAGCAUCAUGAAAUUGGUGAUGGAGGAUGGUUGAUGAUGACGACGGCGACGAAUCCCCCUCUCCGGAGCCCCAAACAGACUCCAGAUUAGCCCUCCCGAGAGAGAUUAGGGCUUGGCGGCGGCUCCGUAUUGGAAAACGCGAUGAAACUUCUCUCUCUGAUUAUUUUCUCCCCGAAAGCCAAUAUAUGGAGUUGGAGUUGGCGUCGGAGGGCAUCCAGGGGGGCCACGAGGUAGGGGGCGCCCCCAGGGGGGAGGGGCGCGCCCCCCACCCUUGUGGACAAAGUGUGGGGCCCCUGGUCUUCAUCUUUGGUGAGGAUUUUUUAUUAUUUAUUCUAAGAUAUUCCGUGGAGUUUCAGGUCAUUCCGAGAACUUUUGUUUUCUGCACAUAAAAUAACAUCAUGGUAAUUCUGCUGAAAACAGCGUCAGUCCGGGUUAGGUCCAUUCAAAUCAUACAAGUUAGAGUCCAAAACAAGGGCAAAAGUGUUUGGAAAAGUAGAUACGAUGGAGACGUAUCAGGACCCCAAAACGAGGAGUAAUAGUCCAUGAAACGGGCCAGAAUCGACCAAAACUGCGAGUGUUGAUGACCGACACGUAAGCGCACCUUCGUCAAUCGUGGAAAUCACUCCGAGACCCCAAAACAGUG